AUUGAACGCUGGCGGCAUGCCUUACACAUGCAAGUCGAACGGCAGCACGGGUGCUUGCACCUGGUGGCGAGUGGCGAACGGGUGAGUAAUACAUCGGAACAUGUCCUGUAGUGGGGGAUAGCCCGGCGAAAGCCGGAUUAAUACCGCAUACGAUCUACGGAUGACAGCGGGGGGCCUUCGGGCCUCGCGCUAUAGGGUUGGCCGAUGGCUGAUUAGCUAGUUGGUGGGGUAAAGGCCUACCAAGGCGACGAUCAGUAGCUGGUCUGAGAGGACGACCAGCCACACUGGGACUGAGACACGGCCCAGACUCCUACGGGAGGCAGCAGUGGGGAAUUUUGGACAAUGGGCGAAAGCCUGAUCCAGCAAUGCCGCGUGUGUGAAGAAGGCCUUCGGGUUGUAAAGCACUUUUGUCCGGAAAGAAAUCCUUGGCCCUAAUACGGUCGGGGGAUGACGGUACCGGAAGAAUAAGCACCGGCUAACUACGUG
rnacentral:rRNA from 1 species